rnacentral:lncRNA from 10 species
GCAGAAUCUGGGCUGCCGGGCACCAUUUCGCGAACCCCAAAUUCUCACACGCACCCCAUAACGUUCCGCCGGCUCCCAGGCCCGGCUGGGGGAACUAAACUUUCAUCCUCCAUCUCCCGGUCCCGGACGGCCCCCUAGAACGCGGGCAAGAGUCCGUGUGAGAACCGGGACACCUGUCCUGUUGAAAAGGGGGACGCAAAAGCUGAAAAUGCCCGGAAGGAUAUGGCUUCCUUGAACUGCGGGACGUGUAGCUGCAGCUGUGGGGUGGACCAUGGAAACAGCUCCAUCAGAAGUACCAGGGAGGACUCUGACAGGCCUGGCCUGGAUCAGCAGGAAGAAGAGAUGGAAGCAACGCCAUGGACCUUCACGUCCUUCAGAGUGGACCAUAGGGGCUGGCAGCUGAAGAAGGUGACUUGGCCCCUCUCUAGAGGGUGAACGCAGGAUCAAUUCAAGGCCAUGAAGUGGAUGCAGCUGGGAGAGCCUGCUUGGUGCUUUUAAACCUCAACAUGUCAACCGCAAAUACCUCAAACACUGCUCACACCGUGGUAAAAUCUAGUUGCGAAACCUG